rnacentral:lncRNA from 1 species
AUGAAGCUGUGUGUAUUUUUGGUUUUCAUCUGUGUGAUGCUGCCGGCAGUGUAUGGGUUGAAGUGUUACACCUGCUGGGGGGACAACCCCGGCUCCUGCAAUUCUGUUUGGGACUGUCCUAAAUCCUAUGACCGCUGUGCCUCCACAAUAGGUAAGUUUAACUCAUCGCCACUUUUGGCUUAAAUUUACACAUCAUUUUUAGUAUACAUUUUUUCUUCCAUUUUUGCUGUUGCACCAGUACAAUUCUGUUCAGCUAUGGCAAGAACAGAAGUAGUCGGAACUUUAAUUCUGACAUUCCACUCUUAUGACACAAUGUACCUUUUUUUUAAAAAAAAAAUAACUUUUCUUGCUUUUCUCUCUUGCAGUGUCUCAAAAUAUGAUCUCCAAACACUGUAUGAGGAGUGAUUUGUGCUCAAAUUCUUACAGCGUGGGUGUCAGAUGCUGUGCUGAAGACCUGUGUAAUGGAGCAAAACAAACUGCAGUCUUUGUCCCUCUUCUUCUGGUGCCCAUAGCUGUUAGUACACUAUUCACAUGAACACAUUACAUUCUCACAUUGUAAAAAUCUUAAUGUGUCUGAAUCUAUCGAGAAGAUCAGCUUUCUUGAAAAAAAAAAGAAGCUAUACUGGGAAUCAAUCAACUUUGGAGGCUGUGGUGAUCUUUUAAAAUGUAUUUGUAUAUUUUCUAAACUCUUGGACUAUUGAAAGGAAUAAAAUGUCUCUACUGUAUCUGUAAUUAUUGUGAUGGUUCCUCUAUUUAUAUCUUUAUUUAGAUACUGUAUAUGUUGAAUUAUUUCUAUUUUAUCAUGUGCCAUACAUAAAUACAAUACAGUAAAAAUACAAUUUGAGUUGUAAUUUCCUUUACUGGACAACUGUUGCUAUCUUUUUGUGGUUUCAUUGUGGGGUUUUAGGGUUAGGAGAGGAACAGUAAGAGGAAGAGCACAGCCUUGUGAUCACAGAUGGAAAAAAAAAAUCACAUCUUUCGCAGUAGAGGGCAGUAUAGGAGAAAGCAAAAGGUGGCCCACUUAACAUAUUUGUCUGAGACCAAAUUCAAGUACCUACCAAAAUAUUGAAUAUUCUCACAAUUUACUUUAAUUCAUCUACUUUUUUUGGCAAUAGUCUUUUGUAACAGGAAUGUAUGGUUGCAAUUUGCUUGUAAAAUCAGGUAAAUGGGACGUAAUCAUAAUAGAGUUGAGUACAAAAUAACAGCUAUGGCUGAUGUAUAACAACAUGCUACAUUAAAAGCUGCAGAACAUUUUUUUUUUCAAUAUUUACAACUCGGUGGCAGCCUGGGGUCACGCUUUGAUUUACCGGAGUAAUCAUAUUCCCAUUGUACAAUUAAUGGACGUAUUUGUGAAGUAAAAUCACAGCCCCACAAACUUCCAAAUGACCUGCUGAGCACUUGUGAAAGAGCAGAACAAGACCACACCCGGCUGACUAUCGGCUCUAAUAUCUAUUCAAAGUGGUUUAUUACACAGUAACUGCACAUAAAAAAGAAAACAGAGAGACCUUUGUUCAGUCACUCCUAACGUGACGUGGUCUGCAAAAUCAAAGGGAAAACUAAACAACAAGGGUUUAACCAUUAUACAAUCACCCCAGUUUCAGGAUAUAAUUCAUCUGUGUGUAUUCACCAUGUCAGUAGUUUGUAUUGCUUUAUAUUAUCAAUAAAUUGUAAUAACAAAAAGUAAAAACUGAAGAGUAAAAGUGAGAUUUUAGCUUUUUUUUAAAUUGAAAAACCUGAUGAAUCUCUACUACUAAUCAAAAAUAGAAUUACCACACAUUAGUUUUGUAUCUGCAAUUGUGAUUUCACAUCAAAUCAUGGAACUAAAAAAACCCAAUGUUACUGUAGCUCAAUCAGAGGUUCCUUCAAACAUAAUCACAGUAAAUCAUGCACAAGAUUAUGUUCUGCGAGUCGGCUUGUUGCUCAGUGGGAUCACACUUGGCCACACUUGAUUGCAGCAGCUCGCUGUGGGAGCCAUAUUAACUGAGCAGUGUCAUGUUGAUGAAUGAACGGGAGAAAUUGUUAUUUUAUCAAUUGAUUAUUUAUGUUUAACAGAUGUGAAUUCAAGAAAUGACUCUAAACCGACGCAGGACACAGCAACUACAUUUUUAAAGUGAAGUACCUCAAAGUCACAUACUUUAAUCACAUAUACGCCAUGUGAGAAUAGUGAACUGUAUAUAAUUUGUUGUGUGUGUGUGUGUGUGUGACUGUGAAUGUGACUUGAACUGUAAAAAUUGCAGUGAGUGGUUGACUAGAAAAGUGCUACACAAAUACAAAUCAUUAAAUUUUUCAUAAGAAUGGUCAAAAGACGUCUUCUUCCACCAAAACAGAACGUUUGUGAUAUUAUGUUGAGCAGCAAAUGAAUUUGGAAAUCGAAACCUCUGCACAGGAAAUAGUUUCAGCUGAUGUUCAUUUUGAUAUUAGAAUCAAAUUAUUGGGGAGUCAAUGCCCUCAUGCAGUGUUUAUUAGCUCUCUGAUCAGGGGAUUUUUUUGUUUUGCCUGAAAAAAUGGUAUGCUGUAUGUCAUUCAAUGAUACCAAAGUAAAACCUAAUUUUUUAAAUAUCCCAAUAUAUACAAUCAUAGAAAAUAUACCAAUGGAGAACUGCUCUUUGGAAAGAGAAAGAGAAUAAUGAAGUUUUUCUCUCUCUGGCAUUUUCACUAGCCAGUCAACAGUGAAUAAUAUCUUAAAUAAACAUGAUUAUCGUCUUUCUGUUUCCGUAGUGUUAUUAAUAACACAAGCAUGUCUCAUUCGGUGAUAUGUGACCCUUUCUUGGCCCAAUAAGUGACAAACUCAUUUCCACUAACACUAUAAAUACAUCACUGACUAUUGAAGACCGCUGUGCCCAGUGUUUGCAACAAACACAGACUUUAUCCCUUUCGAUGGCAUCCAAAGUGCAUUUCGUUCCCUAAUGAAGACUGAAAAUUGCAACACAUCGAGUGAAAAAAAAAGACAUCCGCUGGUUAAUUGAAUCAUCGCGGUUGAGCAGGUUUGAGAUUAAUUCCACGUAAGGAGAAGAUCAAAAGCGAGCCAGUUAGGGGGAUGUUGAGGGGAAUGAGAGCACUGAGGCUUGUGGGAUAAUCCCAUUAAGAGCUGCACAUUGGUUCAGACUGAGGAUCCACAACUGUACAGUAUGUCGGAGCUCAGGGCGAAACAGUCUAUGAAGAGAUGGAGAAGGGUCACAAGCGAACCUGCGUUCUGAACGUGUUAGAACACUGCAUGUUCGUCUGUGAUUCUGUGCUUUCAGAGCACAGCCUUUUUCAAUUAUGAUUUUGAGCAAUGAUCAACGUUUGUGUCUGGAACAGAUUGGAUUACCAAAAAAACAAGAGAACUGCACUGCUUAAUACUAAUUGCCAAGGACAUAUUUUAAUACACUGGAAUACACAUACACAUUUGCAUUGCAUUUGUCGUUGCAGGGUUCAUCAAUGACGUCGGCUGCGACUACGCUUGCACGCAUUAGAUCUAAAACUGGAAUUUAUAUGUAUUUGUGCAAAUAUUAGCAUUUCCAUACCACACACUGUUUAUCAAAACCACACGCCAAUGAAAAUCAUCUGAAGAGCUAUACCCAGUGCUGUAUUAUAUAUGUAUGUCUAAAUCAAUGCUUACUUUUUAUUAGUGACAUAAUAGCAUUUCAUAACGUCUUGAUCUCAUUUAUACCAUAAAUGAUGAAUGAUUGCUAACUCUAAAUAAACUGUGUAGACUGUGUCUCUAAUCCUACUGGAUGCAAACAUUUUAUGCAGUACUACAUUAUAUGACGUCAUUUUCUGACUUAAUCGUUACCUCAUGAUGACGUCAUUCCAACUUUAUUAUCAUGAAUUAUUUUUUGAUCUAUAAAAGCUUUAGUUUGUGUCCAUAGUCCUAUAGGACACAGAGAUUCCUCGAAAAAUGCUUUUUUGAAAUAUGCAUGACAUCAUUUUCUUUGCGACUUCUUUAUGACGUCACUUAUCACAUGAUGUCAUAUGAUAGGGAAUAUAUUUGUGAUCAAUAUAACAUUUAGAAUAUCUCUCAAGCUCUAUUAUUCUUGGAGAUAUCUUGGAAAGUGUGUUUUUUCAGAUCAUGUUUCAGUUGACGUUGACCUUUGACCUUUGACCGAUCAGUUAAUCAAGUUAAUCCUCUGGAUCCAAAGUAAUAUUCCAACUAGGUCUGAUGUUUUUGACUUGUUUUGUAUACACAAUGUUGAGAAGGUACUGUAUCAUGUUUACCAUAUUUAGUAUAUUAGUUUUGUGUGUUUGCAUUAUAACUUUUGACAAUAACACAAAACAGAGUAAAGCUGAGAUGGGAAUGCCAUUAGGUUUUACAAUAAUGUAACUUUGGACCUGCUGUUAUAAAGUUUAGGAAUCU